CCUAACACAUGCAAGUCGAGCGCGCCCUUCGGGGUGAGCGGCGGACGGGUGAGUAACGCGUGGGAACGUGCCCUCUUCUGCGGGAUAGCCACUGGAAACGGUGAGUAAUACCGCAUACGCCCUUUUGGGGAAAGAUUUAUCGGAGGAGGAUCGGCCCGCGUUGGAUUAGGUAGUUGGUGGGGUAAUGGCCUACCAAGCCGACGAUCCAUAGCUGGUUUUAGAGGAUGAUCAGCCACACUGGGAUGAGACACGGCCCAGACUCCUACGGGAGGCAGCAGUGGGACUCUUAGACGAUGGGGCAACCCUGACUAGCCAUGCCGCGUGAGGACGAAGGCCCUAGCUUGUAAGCUUCUUCGCCUGUAAGAAUAUGA
rnacentral:rRNA from 1 species